ACAUGUUUAUGCAGUGGUUUGCCCACCAUGCCUGUAACAAUACCACACCCAACUUCCUGUCACCCCCUUCAUGUUGUCGUCUUGCGCUGCUCUCUGUCCUCAUCUUUAUUUCCUGGCCUCUGGCCAAUACUGAGUGUCAUUUUUCUGCUAUUAUAAGCCCCCAUAGCCCCAACCAGCUAAAACCCUGUCCUCACUCUAUCUCUUUACUGCACCUCUUCGCCCCCAGAUGCAUUCUGGUCAUUUUCUGUGUGGUUUGUUUUUGGCAUCAGUUCAGUGAGCUGUCAUUGCCAUUUAAUGGCUGGGUGCUCCCUGGCUCACCAGUGUUGUUUCUCCUAUUGCCAGAAUCUCUGACCCUGGCUGCACACUUCUAAUUAUAAUUGAUGCCUUAAUGGCUGCAGUGCUUGACAUGUUGCAGUUUUACAUACAUAAAAAUAUAACAACAAUUUCUAAAUUGGGGCAAAUAUACAAGAAGUCGAGAAGCACAUAUAUUGUGUGUUUUUAUGCUGAAUUAUAUUACAUGUCAUUUAGCUGACGCUUUUGUCCAAAGCAACUUACAUUUUUUAAGAACACUCAGCAUUUAUGAGGGGCCAUUUGUAGGGGUUCAGUAAGGACACUUAGGCAUGCAGAUGGGAAAGAGUGGGAUUCGAAACCAGCAACCUUCUUGUUGCAGAACACCCGCUCUAUCGCUAGGCCACGCUCUCACACUUUAGAAUGUAUACCGUUUUAAACACAGAAGAACAGCAUUCAUGUGUAUGUAUCCCUCGUGAAAUUAAGGCUACUAACCUCAGGUGUAGUAAAACUCCCCACCAAAAGGGGGCACACUAUGCGUUUUGUUCAAUGUACUCCCCACCAAUAAGAAACCCUUUUUUUCUCCUGAGAUUUUCUCAUUAUACCAGUAGAGAGAGAAGCUUCCGGAUAAGACGUACAACUUGAGAGUGAUAUACAAAGUGAUUACAUACAGUAAUCUAAUACUGGAAACUCCGAUUUGUUUUUUAUGAACACCAGAUGAAUCCAAAUGCUGAGAUGGUGAGCUAACCCAGAUCUUGGAUGCAGUGUGGCCAACUGAAUGAUCCAGAUCCAACCUGAUCGUAUAUCGAGAGACAUAAAGGCCCGGACCAGAACGGAAUCGUUGAAUCUGCAAGCACACUAUCCUGUGAACUGUAUAUAUACACACACACACUGAAAGGACGUUUAUUUUAGAAGAAUCAUAUAUUAUAUUCAUUUUUUAACGUUAUACUGUUUUAUAUUGUGAUUGUUCUUUGACUGAAUCUGAAUAAAUAAACUGUUCAUUAGUUCAACUUG